rnacentral:rRNA from 1 species
ACAGGUGCUGCAUGGCUGUCGUCAAGCUCGUGUCGUGAGAUGUUGGUUAAGUCCCGCAACGAGCGCAACCCUUGCCCUUAGUGCCAUCAAUUAAGUUGGNACUCUAAGGGGACCGCCGGUGACAAACCGGAGGAAGGUGGGGAUGACGUCAAGUCAUCAUGGCCCUUAUGGCCAGGGCUACACACGUGCUACAAUGGUCGGUACAAAGGGUUGCCAACCCGCGAGGGGGAGCUAAUCUCAGAAAGCCGAUCGUAGUCCCGGAUUGCAGUCUGCAACUCGACUGCAUGAAGUCGGAAUCGCUAGUAAUUCGUGAAUCAGCGAUGUCACGGUGAAUACGUUCCC